GGACGGAUAAGGCGUUUACGCUGCAUCCGGCAACCUAUGCCUGAUGCGACGCUGAAGCGUCUUAUCAUGCC
rfam:Trichuris trichiura, WGS project CBXK01000000 data, contig: TTRE_1719